rnacentral:rRNA from 1 species
AGGACGUCCAACUUAACUUGGAGUCCGAACUCUCACUUUCUAACCCUGUGCACUUGUUUGGGAUAGUAACUCUCGCAAGAGAGCGAACUCCUAUUCACUUAUAAACACAAAGUCUAUGAAUGUAUUAAAUUUUAUAACAAAAUAAAACUUUCAACAACGGAUCUCUUGGCUCUCGCAUCGAUGAAGAACGCAGCGAAAUGCGAUAAGUAAUGUGAAUUGCAGAAUUCAGUGAAUCAUCGAAUCUUUGAACGCACCUUGCGCUCCAUGGUAUUCCGUGGAGCAUGCCUGUUUGAGUGUCAUGAAUACUUCAACCCUCCUCUUUCUUAAUGAUUGAAGAGGUGUUUGGUUUCUGAGCGCUGCUGGCCUUUACGGUCUAGCUCGUUCGUAAUGCAUUAGCAUCCGCAAUCGAACUUCGGAUUGACUUGGCGUAAUAGACUAUUCGCUGAGGAAUUCUAGUCUUCGGAUUAGAGCCGGGUUGGGUUAAAGGAAGCUUCUAAUCAGAAUGUCUACAUUUUAAGAUUAGAUCUCAAAUCAGGUAGGACUACCCGCUGAACUUAAGCAUAUCAA